AUGCUCCUACGGGGGGCAGCAGUGGGGAAUAUUGCACAAUGGGGGAAACCCUGAUGCAGCGACGCCGCGUGAGCGAUGAAGUAUUUCGGUAUGUAAAGCUCUAUCAGCAGGGAAGAAAAUGACGGUACCUGACUAAGAAGCCCCGGCUAACUACGUGCCAGCAGCCGCGGUAAUACGUAGGGGGCAAGCGUUAUCCGGAUUUACUGGGUGUAAAGGGAGCGUAGGCGGUGAUGCAAGUCAGAAGUGAAAGCCCGCAGCUCAACUGCGGGACUGCUUUUGAAACUGUAUGACUAGAUUGCAGGAGG
rnacentral:rRNA from 1 species